rnacentral:rRNA from 1 species
AUUGAACGCUGGCGGCAGGCCUAACACAUGCAAGUCGAACGAGUGGCGGACGGGUGAGUAAGGUCUGGGAAACGGCCUGAUGGAGGGGGAUAACUACUGGAAACGGUAGCUAAUACCGCAUACCAUCAGAUGGGCACAGAUGGGAUUAGCUAGUUGGUGGGGUAACGGCUCACCAAGGCGACGAUCCCUAGCUGGUCGGCGCGGAUGACCAGCCACACUGGAACUGAGACACGGUCCAGACUCCUACGGGAGGCAGCAGUGGGGAAUAUUGCACAAUGGGCGCAAGCCUGAUGCAGCCAUGCCGCGUGUAUGAAGAAGGCCUUCUGGUUGUAAAGUUCUUUCAGCGGGGAGGAGUUACCCGCAGAAGAGGCACCGGCUAACUCCCUGACAGCAGCCGCGGUAAUAC